GUGAGGAACAUAUGGGCAAAAGCGUGAUUCUGCUCUACCCAUGUGUGAAGAAGGAAGACUGCCCUAAAAGCACUAUCAAUUGUGUAGACAAGAAGAAACCGCUUACGCCGUAGUGCUGACGUUAACUUUUAAAGAUACGCAUGGUAAAUCUCUGCCAGCACACGCGGUAAUAUGGAGGGGACACGCGUUAAUUCGAAUUUCUGGGCGUAAAGCGCACGUAGGUGGUGUGUAAAGUCAGAGAGAAAUCCCCGGGCUCAACCUGGGAACUGCAUUUGAUACUGGCAGAUAAGAGUUAGAGAGAGGAAAGUGGAAUUACAGGUGUAGCGGUGAAAUGAGUAGAUAUUAGGAGGAACACCAGUGGCGAAGGCGACUUUUCGGCUUCAAAAUGACACCAAGGUGCGAAAGAAGGGGUGGCAAACAACAGGAGAUACCACCGUGGUACUCCCCGUA
rnacentral:rRNA from 1 species